AAGACUAUACUUUCCGGGACUAUUUCUAUAGUGUGUUACUAGAGAAGUUUCUUUGAAGGAGUAGAGUACUGGAAAUGAUAAGAAAGAGGUGAAGUGUUCUUUCCUGAGUGUGCUCUUGAUGUUGCUUUGCUCCAGCUGCUAUUUGCCAUUGAUGGUCAUUGUUCUCCCCGCUUUGGGGAAGUAACAGGAAGAAGAUGCCAUGUGAGUCAC
rnacentral:snoRNA from 1 species